AGUGAACGCUGGCGGUAUGCCUAACACAUGCAAGUCGAACGGCAGCACAGUAAGAGCUUGCUCUUACGGGUGGCGAGUGGCGGACGGGUGAGGAAUACAUCGGAAUCUACUUUUUCGUGGGGGAUAACGUAGGGAAACUUACGCUAAUACCGCAUACGACCUACGGGUUAAAGCAGGGGAUCUUCGGACCUUGCGCGAUUGAAUGAGCCGAUGUCGGAUUAGCUAGUUGGCGGGGUAAAGGCCCACCAAGGCGACGAUCCGUAGCUGGUCUGAGAGGAUGAUCAGCCACACUGGAACUGAGACACGGUCCAGACUCCUACGGGAGGCAGCAGUGGGGAAUAUUGGACAAUGGGCGCAAGCCUGAUCCAGCCAUACCGCGUGGGUGAAGAAGGCCUUCGGGUUGUAAAGCCCUUUUGUUGGGAAAGAAAGGCAGCAGGUUAAUACCCCGCUGUUCUGACGGUACCCAAAGAAUAAGCAACGGCUAACUUCGUG
rnacentral:rRNA from 1 species